CAGGGAUUGCCUUAGUAACGGCGAGUGAACUGGCAAAAGCUCAAAUUUGAAAUCUGGCGUUUGCCUGAGUUGUAAUUUGAAGAGGAUGUCUUUUGUUUUAACUUGAGAUUGAAGUCUUCUGGAACGUAGCAUCAUGGAGGGUAAUAAUCCCGUAUGUGAUUUCAAGUUUUAUAAGCAAUAUAAGACUCCUUCAAUGAGUCGAGUUGUUUGGGAAUGCAGCUCUAAAUGGGAGGUAAAUUUCUUCUAAAGCUAAAUAUAGGCUAGAGACCGAUAGUGAACAAGUAGAGUGAUCGAAAGAUGAAAAGAACUUUGGAAAGAGAGUUAAACAGUAUGUGAAAUUGUUGGAAGGGAAGCAUUUGCAAUCAGAUUUGUGUUGUUAAAAUUCACCUACACAUUCUAUGUGCUUAGAGCAUUUUUUUUCAACACUUGUCAACAUCAAUUUGAGCAGUGAUAUAAUCUUGGAUAAAAUGUGGCUCAUUGAGUGUUAUAGUUAUCCUUGCUAAUCACUUGCAUAAAUUGAGGCUUGCGGUUACCCAUGGAUGUUGACUUAAUGGUUGUAAGUGGCCCGUCUUGAAACACGGA
rnacentral:rRNA from 2 species